UUGUAUUUGGUAAUUUGGACCACAGGGGGAGACAGACAUGUCCUGAGACCCUUGAUCCCGCCCUGGACGAAAGUCCAAGGGUUGUUUGUAAUUUUGGUUUGGGGCCAUUCUAGUUUGCCAUGCGAUUUGUCCUGUCUGUUGUGUCUGUCCUUAUGUUUUAACUGUUUGUAUCUGUUUCUGUUCACCCCAUGGGUCAACAACUAACCACCUCCAUCCCCAACUGUGAUCGGCAGAUGUCCCUGGAGGAUCACAGACUGCUGCCCUGAGGACACCCAGGAGGUAUGGACAGAGGCCAAGGACACUUGGACCUUCCUCAGUUAGCGGCGAUUGUAGCCGCCUGGUUCUGUUGCCCAUCUGCCCGGCGCCAUUGCCUUAUAAGCGGUGUGGAUGGAUUGGGUUGGUGUCUGUUCUUUUCUGUCUAUUCUGUCUCUGUGUGUUUGCAUCAUUGGUUUUCAAUUCAGGAUCCACCAGGACACCCCCUUUCAUUGAGUCAUGUGGCGCCACACUAGGUAACUUUCUUUUUUUCUGUCUUUGUUUCUGUACGGUUUCUGUGAAGCCUGGAGGGUUGGAACAGGCUGUGUGACUGGGCAGUUGAGCAGGUUUGUUAUCUGUGUUAUCUGAUCUGUUUCAAUCCACACCCUGCUUGCAUGCUUUUCAGUGCUGUGUCAGUUUUGUGUUUUCAGGUCUGCUGUUUCUGUUAAUUUUGUAAAUGUAAAAGUCCUAUGUUGAGGUUGCUAGUGACAUCUGUAAGUAGGCCUACAAGAAUUGUUUAGGGCAGACGUUCGGGUGACAGUUUCUGCAAUCUAUAGGAGGGGUACUUGGUGGAACCAAGUUGCCAGCUCCAUCUGUAAGGGGACUCAGGCGGGUCACCAAUCUGUAGGGGAGACUUGGUGUUGGACCAAGUUGAUCUCCAUGGGGCUAGCCAUCUGAAAUUCCAAAUAGGACCCUAGUCUGUGUUACUGUGCUGUCUGUCCAAGUUUCAUAUUUGUGCUGUGUGCUUGUUAAGCAUCUCUUUCUGUCCCUACUGCCCACACAAGUGGCAUGUAUGGGUCAGGGGUCUUUUCUUGCCCUGAGCACGUGGCAUGCAGGAUAGGAGUUCCUGUGCCAUGUGCCAUGGAUUAGAGUGUGCUGCAGCAGAGUCAUCUGAGGCUGCUAAUCUGAACUCCAACCACUGCUGCGGCCCUCACAGCUGAGCCUGGCUGGUGCUGGCAGACUGCCAGAUCCUGACAGUGACCCAAAGUCUCCAAAGAAGAUUAUGAGGCACUCCAGUUCCUGCACCUGGAUGAUGAUGACGCUGACCAAUGAGCAAGAUGCUCAAAUGUGAUACCAGCUGCCUGUCAGGACCUGGCCUAGAUUGUGGACAAAGCUGCUGGACACUGGAAAAUUAAUUUCAUCCCCUUUGCCUAGACAAAACAAGGCACAUCUGAGUAUCAGUUGCUGACUACAGGCUGUUCCUAAGUAGACUGAGAGCCCUGGACUUGCUGUGGAUGUGAACCAGUCCAGCUGAUGUGGACACCCCUGUCUCUGUAACAGAGUCUGCUAACCAGAAGCUCCUGAUGGAUUCCCCAUUGCCUAAAUUCCCUUUUUGCUUUUGACUAGCAUUUCAGCCUGCUUGGGUCCCUAAUUUCAUCCCAAAGUCAGCAGUAAGUAGCAUGGGAAAGAAUAUGUCACCCAUUUUCCCUGGUUGAAAUGCUAAGUCAGAAGGAACUCCCUUACAUGGGGAUGCCAAUAUCUCUCACUCCCUGAUGGGGACGCUGGAGAGACAGCAAAUCCAUGAUUGGAAUCUCAAAAAAAUGGGGGAAUGAAGGGACCAGCUCCCCAUUUUGGCAGCCAUAACAGCUGAACACAUGCUUGUCUGACCUUGUCUUGGUCACUAGGACAUCAGAUGCCUGCCUCAUGGCAAGGAACCAAUCAGAAGUUAGCUGGUGGUGCUAUGCUUUACGACUCUGGGUGUGCUUUACAGACAAGUGCACAGCAAUGACAUGCAGAGCAUAGCAACUACCCUGGGAGGGCCUAUGGGCCAUAACAACCAGUUGACUAAUCAACACAGGGCAAACCCUCCAAGCCUGGAGGCACACCAACCCUGAGCCUGUGCGUGCCCCUAGACACUCCCCUUAUGCUGCCCUAUAAGAUCUCUAUGCAGAUGGUUGGAGCCGUCUUUCCUAGCCAUCUGCCAUGUUGGAUGGAUGAAAGACCUGAGCUAACAUGGUGUUAGCUCGUUGAACAACUACAAUAAAGCCUCAUGCUGUUUGCAUCAAGUUUCUGCCUCCGCAUGGUGGGUGGCCAAAGUCCUGGACUGAGAUCCUGGGUCCCUGCGCUUCCAGGGGUCUUUCUGUGAUACUGGAAUUCCUUUCAUUACUAUUAACUGAGUUCACAAUGGAUGAGCUUGUAAGGCUGGCUCCCAGACUCUAUUUCCUAUAAUCAAAACAGCUCAGCUUUUUUUCCUCUUUUUAUUUUCCUUGUAAAUAAAAUAUUCUUAAGAAAUUUUGAGGGAGGCAUAUUUUGAGACAGAGCCUCAGCAUAUAGCCCAGGGUGACCUCUAACUCAUGACCCUCCUGCCUCAACCUCCUAAAUUCAGAAAUUAGGCAUACAUUAGCACAACCAGUUUAAACACCAUUUUAAUUAAUUCAUCUUUAUUCUGUAUACCCUUCAUGGGUAGACAGUGGAAUAAGGUUUUGGAUUUGUCAUGUAGUCUUCACUGUCAAAAUCAACUAAAAAAAACAACUUGUGUUCCCAAAAUUUGUGGUGGAUUUCUCUCCAACAAGCAAACAAGCAUUCUGCAGCAGACACUAGUUUAGUUGUGUAUCUUCUAAUCCAAUUUAGUUAUCAUACUACCUGCCUGGAGAUAAUUUCAGGUCACACAGGGUGAGGGUUCAGUCCCCUUUCACUUCAGAUGUCAGGCAACUGGUCAUAAAUGAAGCUCACUAUAAUCCCUCAUCUUGUUCAAUUAACUUGUUUCAGUGGUUUACAGGCUCAUAAACAUAUUUUGAUGAAGGGUAAUGUGAAGAGAUGAUAGACCAAAGUAUUGGAAAGGGGUAUGGAAAGUCUAUGCUUUCUCUAGGCACACAAAGUUCAGCAGUCUGGAUGUUCUCCAGAUCACAUUCUUUUGGAGUCUAUGGAAAAUUCAUUGCAUAGGCUCAACUGAAAACAGAUUGGAGGAAGAAACCUAAAGAGGCCUGUCCAGAUUCUUUAGCAUCUCUUCCCCAUGGGCCUGGGGCAAGGUCUGAAAUUAAAAUGGUCUAAUGACCAACUGUUACACCAAGAAGAUCAGACUGUCUUUUUAUGACCUGCCCUAAAAACAAUAGGAUAAGAUCAGGGUAUAUUUUUACUCUCCGUGGUUUUCCUUGUUGGACUGAAAUUCUAGUGUCUCUGGUCUGCCUUGGGGAGUAAAAUGAGCAAAUGGAAAGGUGGGAGAAGGAGAGACAGAGGGAGGAAAGGAGUGUGAGGAGCCGCACUCACAUUCGCCAUUACAAGAUGGCACUGACAUCCACUGCCGGAUCAAGUAAACAACGUUGGUAUCCAUGUGCUCAGUGUUUUUCCACUGCCUAGCCCCGCCUAUUCCAUGGCGUCAUAUAGGGUGAUGAGUCAUUCACCUAUCCCAGCUGUACACGCAUCGCUCAGAGUUUGCGAGCCUUUAUUAGGGGACAGGAUUCUUGGCUCGGGGUAUCCGCUCUGGUAAGCUUAUGCUCUCCUCUCAAGACGCAUUAAAGCUUUACUGCAGAAGGAUCCGAAUGUCCUAUGUGGUUCUUGCCGGCAAGACUAUCGCGCGGGACAUCUGGUGCCGAAACCCGGGAACUUGUUAACAUCGCCGGCACCGCGGAGACCCCUCGGACGGGGCAGAUUCAGAACUGCAGGGUGGUAAAUUCGGAGAGGUAUGUCUUUUCUGGACUUUGGCUUGGGAUUGUUGAUCUUUUUCACUGUUGUAGCAAUCUUGAAGAAGUCCAGAAUUACAUGUCAGAAACCGAAUGUAGUGAGAGAUGGGGCGUGCCCAACAAUAAAAUAUAAGGAAAAAGGACCUCCCGGGGUGUCUAGUGACAAGGGAGUGUGUGUAAGAAGAGAAACAGCAACGAAUAAGGAAAAAGGACCUCCCGGGAUGUCUAAUGACAAGGGAGUGAGUAAUUUGUUAGAUGAUUCUGUAAAUAAGUUUAAAGCUUUAAAUCUUGAUAGCUCUGAUGACUCUGAAAGCUCAAGAGAUAAAGUUUUAGAGGAAACAGCUCAGCUAGGUGAAAAAGAAACAAAAAAGGAGGGAGAGAAAAUAGGGGAUAACCGGUCACACCCCGGUAAAUUUAAGAGACCUGUUAAUCCAGCGGGUGUACUUCCAUCAGCACCCCCAUUAUUUGGUACCGACUCCUUUUUACCAUUAGAGGAGUGGAGAAAAUUGCAGAUGGCUUCCCCAGUCUUUGACAGGGGAAAAGGCCGUGCAUGUUAUUCAACACUUCUUGGAGGCCUGGAAUGCCUGGGGAAAGCCUCAUAUAACGUGCCCAUCGCAUGCUUAAGUCUUAUUUAAUCAAACAAAAGGAGGGAAUGGGAGCAUCCUUACCCUCGGUGCCAAGAGUUGCAAUAUCCAUGGCACUUUUUACCCUUAAUUUUCUAAACAUUGACGCUCAGGGCCAUACUGCGGCCAAGCGUCACACCUCAGAACCUAAAAGGCCAAAGGAAAUGGUAAAAGAUAUCUUAACUGGUCUUUGGAGAGGCCCGGAUCCUAUUCUCAUAAGAUCCAGGGGAGCUAUAUGUGUUUUUCCACAGGAUGAAGAGAAUCCCCUGUGGAUCCCGGAAAGACUCACCCGAAGAGCCCCUUCGGACCCUCAAAAGUCGGAACUCCAUCUUCUCCCCGGGAGUUGAGAGCCGCUAUUAUCCAGAUUAACUCCUGUCCUUUACGGAGAGAUUGUCAUCAUGGAUCACUUCAGCUGUCUCCUAUUUUUAGGAUUGGGUGGGGGUGGGACUUUUUGGCACAAUUCUCUGCAGUGGUGUGGUGUUUAUGCUUGGGACUGUGUGUAGACUCAAAACCCAAACAAAAAAGGUAAGGUAGUGGUUGCACAGGCACUGGCUGCCCUAGAGAAUGGAAUCUCCCCCGGCAUUUGGCUAAGCAUGUUGAGGCAAUAGGUCGCCGACUGCUCAGCUCCUGCACCUCCGGAGGCUUGACCUCAUUGCACGGAAUAGAGUGAGCAAGGUUCGGCAGGUCAAAAGAGUUGUAAGGCUAAGCACUGCACAGAAAGGGCCUGCGGCUUUUCUUGUGGCUCUUCUGAGAGAUAUGUCAUCUUGCAUGAAGGUUAUAUGUCAUAAUGCCCUUCCCCCAGAAAAAGACAUAAGGACGGGUCUGGGCCUGCUCUGGACACAGAGUCUGGAGUCCUGCUCAAGACAAGGUCUGCAUCCAGUUUUGGGGAGUUGACCUCUAUCUCCACUCUGCAUUUGGCUGGCCUAUAGCCUCUGUGUUUCUAUAUAAUUAUAUAGGGGGAGAUGUGAGGAGCCGCACUCACAUUCGCCAUUACAAGAUGGCGCUGACAUCCGCUGCCGGAUCAAGUAAACAACGUUGGUAUCCAUGUGCUCAGUGUUUUUCCACUGCCUAGCCCCGCCUAUUCCAUGGCGUCAUAUAGGGUGACGAGUCAUUCACCUAUCCCAGCUGUACACGCAUCGCUCAGAGUUUGCGAGCCUUUAUUAGGGGACAGGAUUCUUGGCUCGGGGUAUCCGCUCUGGUAAGCUUAUGCUCUCCUCUCAAGACGCAUUAAAGCUUUACUGCAGAAGGAUCCGAAUGUCCUAUGUGGUUCUUGCCGGCAAGACUAUCGCUCGGACAAAGGAGGAAAAGAGGAAGGGGAGAAAAUGAGGGAGAUAGGAAAAGACUGUUUUCUGAGGUUUGCUUUGGAGGUUGAAAAUGUGACUUAGACUUAGAAAAUAAGAAUUACAGGAGCAAUGAGCCAAGAAUCGCAGAUGAAAAUCAAAGUCUUUAUAUCAUUGUAUCACAGACACUCUGAGGAGCCUAAGAAAAAUAAAACCCUAAAAACUUGAAAGCACAUGAACUUCAAAUGCAUUGUUCUACACUUACAGAUCCAUCAAGAAAGGUUCAUUAAUGUCAAAUCACAACAGUCUGACACUCAGGUAACACCUGCUGCUUUCAUUUCUACUUCCUGAAUCUCAUGCAAGUGGAGACCAAGAGCCUAACAGAGAAGGUGAUUCUGAGUAGCAGGUUCAGGUUUAAACUAAGUUGACAAUUGCCAACACUAAAUCUGGAACUGCCCAAGUGUCCAUCAACAUAAGAAUGGCUAAAUAAAUAGUGAUAUAUUUGUGUAGUGAAUUUGACCAAACGGAAGAAAGAAUAAUCUUGCUUUGAGCAACAACAUAGAUAAAUCUCACCAAUGUGUAGUAUUGAGUAACAGGAAUCUCACAAAGAGAAUACAAACUCUACUUACAUUAAGCUUGGUAGAAGCAAAUAAAAUAGGUGAUGAUGAAGAAAUAGUGAUUACUCUGGUGGAGGAGAAUUGACUAGGAGACAAAAGACAAGCAAUGGGUAUUAUUCCAUGAAGGACUUGCAGCAAAGAGGAGAGUAUUUUUUCUUUUUACUAGAGAAUAUGUUUUACUUUGGCUGUGUGGUAGCUGUGUGAGUUUCAUAUGUGUAAAAAGCAAUGGAAUUGUAUGUUUAUGAUUUGUACACUUUGCUAUGUUAUAUCUAAUUGUAAAACUCUAUAAAAUCAAUAAAAAGACAUUUGCA
ensembl:lncRNA